rnacentral:rRNA from 1 species
UACGGAGGAUGCGAGCGUUAUCCGGAUUUAUUGGGUUUAAAGGGUGCGUAGGCGGACUGUCAAGUCAGCGGUAAAAUACGGGGGCUCAACCUCCGCCCGCCGUUGAAACUGACGGUCUUGAGUGGGCGAGAAGUAUGCGGAAUGCGUGGUGUAGCGGUGAAAUGCAUAGAUAUUACACAGAACACCGAUUGCGAAGGCAGCUUGCUAGGCCGGAUCUGACACUGAUGCACGAAAGCGUGGGGAUCGAACAGG